UACAUGUGGGGCAAGCGUUGUUCGGAAUUACUGGGCAUAAAGGGUGCGUAGGCGGCUUGUUAAGUCAGGGGUGAAAGUUUUCGGCCCAACCGGAAAAUUGCCUUUGAUACUGGCGGGCUUGAGUGCGUGAGGGGUAACCGGAACGAGUGGUGUAGCGGUGAAAUGCGUAGAUAUCACUCGGAAGGCCAACGGCGAAGGCAGGUUACUGGUACGCAACUGACGCUGAGGCACGAAAGCGUGGGGAGCAAACAGG
rnacentral:rRNA from 1 species